GGCGGACGGGUGAGUAAUACUUAGGAAUCUGCCCAUUAGUGGGGGACAACUCGGGGAAACUCGAGCUAAUACCGCAUACGCCCUACGGGGGAAAGCGGAGGACCUUUCGGGGCUUCGCGCUAUGGAUGAGCCUAAGUCGGAUUAGCUUGUUGGUGAGGUAAAAGGCUCACCAAGGCGACGAUCCGUAGCUGGUCUGAGAGGACGAUCAGCCACACUGGGACUGAGACACGGCCCAG
rnacentral:rRNA from 1 species